rnacentral:rRNA from 1 species
GGCCUUGACAUGCUGAGAACUUUCCAGAGAUGGAUUGGUGCCUUCGGGAACUCAGACACAGGUGCUGCAUGGCUGUCGUCAGCUCGUGUCGUGAGAUGUUGGGUUAAGUCCCGUAACGAGCGCAACCCUUGUCCUUAGUUACCAGCACGUAAUGGUGGGCACUCUAAGGAGACUGCCGGUGACAAACCGGAGGAAGGUGGGGAUGACGUCAAGUCAUCACGGCCCUUACGGCCAGGGCUACACACGUGCUACAAUGGUCGGUACAAAGGGUUGCCAAGCCGCGAGGUGGAGCUAAUCCCAUAAAACCGAUCGUAGUCCGGAUCGCAGUCUGCAACUCGACUGCGUGAAGUCGGAAUCGCUAGUAAUCGUGAAUCAGAAUGUCACGGUGAAUACGUUCCCGGGCCUUGUACACACCGCCCGUCACACCAUGGGAGUGGGUUGCUCCAGAAGUAGCUAGUCUAACCUUCGGGGGGACGGUUACCACGGAGUGAUUCAUGACUGGGGUGAAGUCGUAACAAGGUAAGCGUAGAUGA